GCAGUCGCCACGGUAAUACGGAGGAUCCAAGCGUUAUCCGGAAUCAUUGGGUUUAAAGGGUCCGUAGGCGGUCUUGUAAGUCAGUGGUGAAAGCCCAUCGCUCAACGGUGGAACGGCCAUUGAUACUGCAGGACUUGAAUUAUUGGGAAGUAACUAGAAUAUGUAGUGUAGCGGUGAAAUGCUUAGAGAUUACAUGGAAUACCAAUUGCGAAGGCAGGUUACUACCAAUUGAUUGACGCUGAUGGACGAAAGCGUGGGUAGCGAACAGGAUUAGAUACCCCCGUAGUCCCUGUCUCUUAUAC
rnacentral:rRNA from 1 species